ensembl:lncRNA
CUCGACGUGACUGCGUGGUGACUAAAUAAUGAAUGUGGCGUAUCGGGUUUCACGUGGAGCCAGGGCCAUGGCCCAUGGCUGGAGAGGAGGAGGGGGGCAGGAAAGACAGAACAGGGAAGGAAAGGGAGAGAAGGAGGAAUUAGAUGAAUCAUAUGGCCGCAGAGGAGAGCGAAAGGAUGCAAAACAACCAAAUAUUAUAAAAAAGUAGACGAAAAGUACUCAGUGACCUACUACUUAUGACGAGAUUCUGAAGUACGGAUCCAAUGGACACUGUACUAUCUCAUGAGGCCACAGGAGAAGAUUCAUGAUUGGCAGUCAAGUGACGAUAACAGAGCCAACAUGGCGGACUAUGUGAUGCUGCCGACGGGUGCAGCGUUCCGGUGGUUCCAGUAGGACUGUGACCUCUGACCUCCACCCAAAACUCUGCCAUCAAGUGCAAUGCCAACUCUCGCUUGGAUCAUCUCGGGCACCAACACUGGCUGACAAACACAAACUACGUGAAAAAAAGAAGAAAAGAAACACAAGACAACUAUGAAAAAAAAAACUUCAUCACAAGAUACAGAACAAUAAAACAACAAUACAAAAAGAAUCAAACGAGUAAUGGAUGCACCUACUUAUUCCUUGAACCAAAAAUUUAAACAUAAAAAUAUCUAUGGCAACUUUCAUUCCCUUUUAUAUGUUUCCAUUUUGGUACCUUUUUGUCCCUUUUCCAGCAGAUUUUUUCUGUGGCUUAGACAUGGAACUGUUCAUUGACAAACAGAAAUGGCGGACUCAGUAUGGACAAUCAACAAAAUUUCUGUGUUUGGUGUUAAUGUUGUUCACGUGUGGAAAGAUACAGUACUUGUGUAGAGAAUGUAAAUUUUACGGCUAUAUUUUAAAAUUAGUGGCUAAUGGCAAGCACUAUUGUAAUUUAGGACCAUUGUUCUUACUUAUAAACUGUAUUUUAUGAUUGUUUCUUUUUUUUAGUUUGAUUUAAAUUUAGAGUUUUAAAAACUGAUCAGUGUUUGUCUUUCAAGGGAGAGUAAAUAUUCCAAAAUCUACAAAUCCAGUUUUCUGAAUGAACAAAUAUGCAUCAUAAAAAACCCCUACUCUGACGACGACUUAAUUGGAAGAUAAAAUUGUCAUUGUUUCUGUAGGGUUGUUACUACUGGAAGCUCCAAACUUUAAAUAUUUCAGUUUGUUUUAUUGUACUGACAGCCUUUUGUUAUAUCAUGUCAGAUUACAUCAUAUCAUGUCGCGUAAUAUCACGUCGAAUCACGUUCCACGUGAUGUUACGUUUUAUUACGGCUCGUCACAUUAUUGUUCUCAGUGUACAGGUCUGAAUUUUUACGGAGCCCUCCACAGCACUUGCUCGGCUCUAUCAAACGCACUGAAAAAGAUUUAAAUUUUUUUGUUUUUGUUUUGUUUUCAUGACAUUGCCGGUAGCUACAUCUUUUAAAAAAAGCAGCAAUGUUUGUAUUGGAUUAGAACUAUGGGCUGGUUUUGUGAAUAAAAACAAAUGCAUGUAUUUGUGUCGAAAAUUUACAGCUCUGACGUCUGUCUAUUUGCAUGUUUUUUAAGAAACAGCAACAAACGUACAAAAAAAUUAUAACAAUAUGGAAAUGUUCGCAGAAUCCUCUAGAUUGUUCCCUUUUCCAUUCAAACAGUAAAAUAAAAAGCAAUGGGACAAAAUAUGUCAUUUUGAGAUGCGAUAAAGAUGUUUUAUCAAGAGUCUUUGAUUUCUUCAUCUUCUUCUACUUGAUGUCUGACACACUUAUAAC